CCUCGUUUUAUCUUACUUGGUUUUGUUUUCAGCAUGUAUAUCGCUGUUAUAAGCUUAUUUUUCUAAAAUAAUAAUUUGCUUUUUUUGUUAUUAUAAUAUAUUUCAAGUCAAGGUGCAGCUAAUAAUUAAGGNGAGGUGAGUUACAAUAUUAUUUGAAUAUAUGGAUUUCAUUUUAAAUAUUUAAAUGAAGGUGGAUU
rnacentral:rRNA from 1 species